AUUGAACGCUGGCGGCAUGCUUUACACAUGCAAGUCGGACGGCAGCACAGAGAAGCUUGCUUCUUGGGUGGCGAGUGGCGAACGGGUGAGUAACAUAUCGGAACGUACCGGGCAGUGGGGGAUAACUAAUCGAAAGAUUAGCUAAUACCGCAUAUCUUCUGAGGAAGAAAGCAGGGGACCAUUUGGCCUUGCGCUGUUUGAGCGGCCGAUAUCUGAUUAGCUAGUUGGUGGGGUAAAGGCCUACCAAGGCGACGAUCAGUAGCGGGUCUGAGAGGAUGAUCCGCCACACUGGGACUGAGACACGGCCCAGACUCCUACGGGAGGCAGCAGUGGGGGAAAUUUUGGGACAAAUGGGGCGCAAAGCCCUGAUCCAGCCCAUGCCCGCGUGUUCUGAAGAAGGGCCCUUUCGGGUUGUAAAAG
rnacentral:rRNA from 1 species